GUUAGCGGCGGACGGGUGAGUAACACGUGGAUAACCUACCUAUAAGACUGGGAUAACUUCGGGAAACCGGAGCUAAUACCGGAUAAUAUUUUGAACCGCAUGGUUCAAAAGUGAAAGACGGUCUUGCUGUCACUUAUAGAUGGAUCCGCGCUGCAUUAGCUAGUUGGUAAGGUAACGGCUUACCAAGGCAACGAUGCAUAGCCGACCUGAGAGGGUGAUCGGCCACACUGGAACUGAGACACGGUCCAGACUCCUACGGGAGGCAGCAGUAGGGAAUCUUCCGCAAUGGGCGAAAGCCUGACGGAGCAACGCCGCGUGAGUGAUGAAGGUCUUCGGAUCGUAAAACUCUGUUAUUAGGGAAGAACAUAUGUGUAAGUAACUGUGCACAUCUUGACGGUACCUAAUCAGAAAGCCACGGCUAACUACGUGCCAGCAGCCGCGGUAAUACGUAGGUGGCAAGCGUUAUCCGGAAUUAUUGGGCGUAAAGCGCGCGUAGGCGGUUUUUUAAGUCUGAUGUGAAAGCCCACGGCUCAACCGUGGAGGGUCAUUGGAAACUGGAAAACUUGAGUGCAGAAGAGGAAAGUGGAAUUCCAUGUGUAGCGGUGAAAUGCGCAGAGAUAUGGAGGAACACCAGUGGCGAAGGCGACUUUCUGGUCUGUAACUGACGCUGAUGUGCGAAAGCGUGGGGAUCAAACAGGAUUAGAUACCCUGGUAGUCCACGCCGUAAACGAUGAGUGCUAAGUGUUAGGGGGUUUCCGCCCCUUAGUGCUGCAGCUAACGCAUUAAGCACUCCGCCUGGGGAGUACGACCGCAAGGUUGAAACUCAAAGGAAUUGACGGGGACCCGCACAAGCGGUGGAGCAUGUGGUUUAAUUCGAAGCAACGCGAAGAACCUUACCAAAUCUUGACAUCCUUUGACAACUCUAGAGAUAGAGCCUUCCCCUUCGGGGGACAAAGUGACAGGUGGUGCAUGGUUGUCGUCAGCUCGUGUCGUGAGAUGUUGGGUUAAGUCCCGCAACGAGCGCAACCCUUAAGCUUAGUUGCCAUCAUUAAGUUGGGCACUCUAAGUUGACUGCCGGUGACAAACCGGAGGAAGGUGGGGAUGACGUCAAAUCAUCAUGCCCCUUAUGAUUUGGGCUACACACGUGCUACAAUGGACAAUACAAAGGGCAGCGAAACCGCGAGGUCAAGCAAAUCCCAUAAAGUUGUUCUCAGUUCGGAUUGUAGUCUGCAACUCGACUACAUGAAGCUGGAAUCGCUAGUAAUCGUAGAUCAGCAUGCUACGGUGAAUACGUUCCCGGGUCUUGUACACACCGCCCGUCACACCACGAGAGUUUGUAACACCCGAAGCCGGUGGAGUAACCUUUUAGGAGCUAGCCGUCGAAGGUGGGACAAAUGAUUGGGGUGAAGUCGUAACAAGGUAGCCGUAUCGGAAGGUGCGGCUGGAUCACCU
rnacentral:rRNA from 1 species